rnacentral:rRNA from 1 species
UACAGAGGGUGCAAACGUUGCUCGGAAUCAUUGGGCGUAAAGCGCACGUAGGCGGUCCAGCAAGCGGGGAGUGAAAGCCCUCGGCUUAACCGAGGAAGUGCUUUCCGAACUACUGGGCUUGAGUACGCAAGAGGGUCGCGGAAUUCCCGGUGUAGAGGUGAAAUUCGUAGAUAUCGGGAGGAACACCAGUGGCGAAGGCGGCGACCUGGGGCGAUACUGACGCUGAGGUGCGAAAGCGUGGGGAGCAAAC